rnacentral:rRNA from 1 species
UGGGGAAUAUUGCACAAUGGGGGAAACCCUGAUGCAGCGACGCCGCGUGAACGAAGAAGGUAUUCGUAUCGUAAAGUUCUGUCCUAGGGGAAGAUAAUGACAGUACCAUAGAAGAAAGCUCCGGCUAAAUACGUGCCAGCAGCCGCGGUAAUACGUAUGGAGCGAGCGUUGUCCGGAAUUAUUGGGCGUAAAGGGUACGCAGGCGGUUUAAUAAGUCGAAUGUUAAAGAUCGGGGCUCAACCCCGCAAAGCAUUGGAAACUGAUAAACUUGAGUAGUGGAGAGGAAAGUGGAAUUCCUAGUGUAGUGGUGAAAUACGUAGAUAUUAGGAGGAAUACCAGUAGCGAAGGCGACUUUCUGGACACAAACUGACGCUGAGGUACGAAAGCGUGGGGAGCAAACAGG